GUGCUAGCUUUGGCAGCAUAUAUAGUAAAAUUGUAACAUGAUAUAGAGAAGAUUAGCACGGUCCCUAUGUGAGGAUGAUAUGUAAAUUCAUGAAACCUUCCAUAUUUAA